rnacentral:rRNA from 1 species
CAGCAGCCGCGGUAAUACAGAGGGUGCAAGCGUUAAUCGGAAUUACUGGGCGUAAAGCGCGCGUAGGUGGUUUGUUAAGUUGGAUGUGAAAGCCCCGGGCUCAACCUGGGAACUGCAUCCAAAACUGGCAAGCUAGAGUACGGUAGAGGGUGGUGGAAUUUCCUGUGUAGCGGUGAAAUGCGUAGAUAUAGGAAGGAACACCAGUGGCGAAGGCGACCACCUGGACUGAUACUGACACUGAGGUGCGAAAGCGUGGGGAGCAAACAGGAUUAGAUACCCCAGUAGUCCCUGUCUCUUAUAA